UCAGAUCUCAUCGCCGAACCUUUCAGAGAUCCCUCUCCCCGAUUUCACCCUAAAUUUCAUUUUUAGCCGUCAGGAAGAAGAGAUCUGGCUGUAAAUGUCAAUUUUAGGGUUUCUUUAAUGGGAUUUUUUCUUCAGUUGGUCCAUUUUUUGUAUCGAUUUGAAGUGGGUUUAGAAUUUUUAGAUUUGAUUAUGGCACAAUAUCGUGAAAAGAAGAAGAUGUUUGGUCCGUUUGGAGUAACAACCACGAAGAAUAAGAAGAAGAGGAGGAGGAGGAGGAGGAAGGUGAUGAGAUGAAACACGAUGAAGAAGGAAACGGGAAAUCAAAUAAUCCAACGACGGCAACGGCAGAGAAGAAUUACACUGAGUAAAUUAGAUCCUUCACUGUUGAUUUUAUCAAUUUUGUUUGCUAAAGUUGAAGGUGGUAGUGUUUUUACUAACGGAGGAGGGGUUUUAUGUGCCGGCGAUGAUUUUCGGCUCUUGUAGAAGAAGAAGAAGAAAUGUGUAAACAGGAGUCUGAUCAGAAUCAGCGAUGGGCGACCGUGAAGCAUGUUUAGCAUGCAAAUUUCUGCGUAGACAAUGUCCAGAAGGGUGUGGUUAUGUUCCGCUGUUUCGUUCAUGUUUCAAUGUACCGAGAUUCCGAAUAGGAGAUGCAGCAUCCCCUACUGAUAGACAGCAAAUAGAAGAUCGUUUAGCGGAGAGCACGAAAUAUUUUGAAACAAAAGCCAGAAUUGAUGAACCUGCUUUUGGGGCAACAGGAGUCCUUAUAGGAUUAGAUCUGCUUAUGAGAGAUAAAAUUAGCCGCUUUAAUACUAUUAUAGGCAUGAGUCGCUUCUUUUCCAUUAGAGGCAAUGUCGUGUAUGUUUCUCCACCAGGCACUGAGAAUUAUUUCGUCCCAGAAGAUACAAAAAUACUUAAACAGCAACAUCUAGCUUGUCCUGUGUGCAUGUAUCUACCACUGAAGUGUGGGGAGAAUUGUCCUACUGUUCGAUUCUUUGAAGCAGGCGAAUCUGCAGAUUACAUCAGAAAGUUUUAUAAACUACUUUUGGGCCCAACAGCUGUGUUGCCUCAUCACCCUAAUCUUCAGCCAACUGAUGACAUAGCGGAUAUAAGGAUUAAAGCAUUGGAGUUCGAAGAUAAAGAUAGGCUCCACGAUCCUGUUUAUGGGAUAACAGGAAUAAUUCUAUCAUCGUACAGGGACUGGUGGAACCUUAAUCACCGGCUUAAUUUGAUUGAGAGAGAGCAACAGCAUCGGAGUGUGCAGAAUUUGUCUACUGGUCCAACUGGUUCUUCCGACAUUAGUACAGACGAAGGCAAAUAGAUUGUGACCCCAGAAUCAAUAAAAGUGGCGCAUGAUGAAUGUAGCGCAAAAUUGAUGGAUAUGGAAGAUUUUGAUGAGUCUCUUUACAGCAGAGAAAAAGUGUUGGGGAAGUAUAUGGAGUUCCUACACGAAUGUAGCACUUACGCAUCAAUCCUGCAGCUACCACAAGAAUGGUAUUAUUCUUUCUGCCCUCAACAAGGAGAAUCCUCAAACAAUUCUCCUUUAAGUUCAGUUCCUCACAGAAUGAACCAGCCAUCAGCUGAUCAGUUGUGUAAUACAACACUGCUACAAAGACAACAACAACUACAUAGAGUCUCACAACAAACACAGCAACAAGUACCAGAGAAUGUUCCACAAAAUGUAGCAUCACAGCUACAACAACUGGCAGCUCCUUCUCUUAGUCAGCAAGCCGCUUCAUCAUCAUCAAGAACAGCAACUUCGUCUCAACAAGGAUCGAGCAGUAGCACAGGAACACUACCAACGAAUACUACCACAGACACUAUAUAAACCUGUAAGGAACUGGUGAUAUCAUUAGGGACUAUGGAAGUUUGUUGCAGCACUAAACUAUUGAAGAAACGGAAAGAUAGGGUUAUGGAUGUUUCACCAGAGAUGGAUUUAGCUAGCUAGUUCUUGCUCACCCAUUGUCAAUUGACCCUCAGCUAUAGUUUAGUACCUAGUAAAGAAAAAAAACUCAGUGACAGCUUAGUAUGUAUGGUUGUUGUAGUGGCAGUAGUAACUUUGACAUUCUAGCUUACAUUCCUACCUAUAUCAAUACCAC